rnacentral:rRNA from 1 species
AUUGAACGCUGGCGGCAGGCCUAACACAUGCAAGUCGAACGGUAACAGGAAGAAGCUUGCUUCUUUGCUGACGCGUGGCGGACGGGUGAGUAAUGUCUGGGAAACUGCCUGAUGGCGGGGGAUAACUACUGGAAACGGUAGCUAAUACCGCAUAUCGUCGCUAGACCAAAGAGCGGGACCUUCGGGCCUCUUGCCAUCUGAUGUGCCCAGAUGGGAUUAGCUAGUAGGUGGGGUAACGGCUCACCUAGGCGACGAUCCCUAGCUGGUCUGAGAGGAUGACCAGCCACACUGGAACUGAGACACGGUCCAGACUCCUACGGGAGGCAGCAGUGGGGAAUAUUGCACAAUGGGCGCAAGCCUGAUGCAGCCAUGCCGCGUGUAUGAAGAAGGCCUUCGGGUUGUAAAGUACUUUCAGCGGGGAGGAAGGGAGUAAAGUUAAUACCUUUGCUCAUUGACGUUACCCGCAGAAGAAGCACCGGCUAACUCCGUG